GGCCAAAUCAUGUUGAAACACUGGCUCUCAUAGGAUCACCGAAGUUAAGCAACGUCGACCUUAGUCAGUAUCUAGAUGGGUUGUCGCUUGGGAAUGCCAGGUACUGUAAG